GUGGGUAGGGUGGCACAUACCUAUAAUCCUGCUACCAAGGAGGACUGAGGCUGGUGGAUUGCUUGAGUUUGGGAGUUCUGAGUUAUAGCCGGUUCAUUGUAUUGAGAGUCUGCACUAAGUUCAGCACCAAGAUGGGGAAUGCCCAGGAGCUGGGCUAUCAGGCUGCCUAAGGUCUUGUCAAUUGAACUAGGUUAGAAAUGGAGUAGGUUAAAUCAUCCAUGCUCAUCAGUAGUGGGGAUUAAGGUGGUCACUGUGCUUCCAGCCUGAAUGAGACAGGGAAACUUUGCA
rnacentral:SRP_RNA from 1 species